rnacentral:rRNA from 1 species
UACGUAGGUGGCAAGCGUUGUCCGGAUUUAUUGGGCGUAAAGAGCGUGUAGGCGGCUUUACAGGUCCGUUGUGAAAACUCGAGGCUCAACCUCGAGACGCCGGUGGAAACCGUAAAGCUAGAGUCCGGAAGAGGAGAGUGGAAUUCCUGGUGUAGCGGUGAAAUGCGCAGAUAUCAGGAAGAACACCCGUGGCUAAGGCGGCUCUCUAGUACGUGACUGACGCUGAGACGCGAAAGCGUGGGGAGCGAACAGG